CCUACGGGUGGCAGCAGUGAGGAAUAUUGGUCAAUGGACGAGAGUCUGAACCAGCCAAGUAGCGUGAAGGAUGACUGCCCUAUGGGUUGUAAACUUCUUUUAUAUGGGAAUAAAACGUUCCACGUGUGGGAUUUUGUAUGUACCAUAUGAAUAAGGAUCGGCCAACUCCGUGCCAGCAGCCGCGGUAAUACGGAGGAUCCGAGCGUUGUCCGGAUUUAUUGGGUUUAAAGGGAGCGUAGGUGGAUUGUUAAGUCAGUUGUGAAAGUUUGCGGCUCAACCGUAAAAUUGCAGUUGAAACUGGCAGUCUUGAGUACAGUAGAGGUGGGCGGAAUUCGUGGUGUAGCGGUGAAAUGCUUAGAUAUCACGAAGAACUCCGAUUGCGAAGGCAGUUCACUGGACUGCAACUGACACUGAGGCUCGAAAGUGUGGGUAUCAAACAGGAUUAGAUACCCCAGUAGUC
rnacentral:rRNA from 1 species